GGCCUUGGCUCAAGGGAAGAGCAUCUGCUUUGUAUGCAGAAAGUCCCGUGUUCAAAUCUGGGCAUUUCCA
rnacentral:tRNA from 1 species